CCUACGGGUGGCAGCAGUGAGGAAUAUUGGUCAAUUGCCGAGAGGCUGAACCAGCCAAGUAGCGUGAGGGAAGACGGCCCUACGGGUUGUAAACCUCUUUUAUCGAGGAGCAAAGAGAGUCACGUGUGACUCAUUGAGAGUACCCGAAGAAAAAGGAUCGGCUAACUCCGUGCCAGCAGCCGCGGUAAUACGGAGGAUGCGAGCGUUAUCCGGAUUUAUUGGGUUUAAAGGGUGCGCAGGCGGAUGUUCAAGGCAGCGGUAAAAUUUGGGGGCUCAACCCCGUACUGCCGUUGAUACUGCAUGUCUUGAGUGCGCGAGAGGUAUGCGGAAUGCGUGGUGUAGCGGUGAAAUGCAUAGAUAUCACGAAGAACUCCGAUUGCGAAGGCAGCAUACCGGCGCGCAACUGACGCUCAUGCACGAAAGCGUGGGUAUCGAACAGGAUUAGAUACCCGGGUAGUC
rnacentral:rRNA from 1 species